rnacentral:lncRNA from 1 species
CUUUGCUUAAUAAAUCUUGUGGGGUGGUUAUUUGUGUGUCUCAUCCAAUUCUUUGUUCAUAACACCAAGAACCUGGAACUCCCAACUUCCAAUCUGGUAACAUAUUUUGGUGAGCCAGCCAGGAGGGUCAAGCCUGCAAUACCUAAAGCUCCAGACCUGGAACCCAAAGCUCCCAUCAGUCGCUACCCUGUGAACCUGUGGAGGAUCUGAAGUACCUGUUUAAAAGGCAUCCAAAAGAUAGAAUCUAUCAAGCUACAAAUGGCUAUGUUGCCUGAAGCCCCAGACAUCAUCCUACAAGAAAUAAGUCCAGACUUCUUAAUUUCCCCCUGGAUAGAGCAGGAUUCGAUUCAGUUGGAAAGACAUGGUUAAUGCUUAAGAGAGCCAGAAGAACCCAAAUCUUUGAACACACUUAGAGCAACCACAAACUGCUGUUAGAAAACUAAUGUUAAUGUUUAAGAAGUACUUGUUAUUUUAGUUUACCUU